rnacentral:rRNA from 1 species
CGGCGGACGGGUGAGUAACACGUGGAUAACCUACCUAUAAGACUGGGAUAACUUCGGGAAACCGGAGCUAAUACCGGAUAAUAUAUUGAACCGCAUGGUUCAAUGGUUAAAGACGGUUUUGCUGUCACUUAUAGAUGGAUCCGCGCCGCAUUAGCUAGUUGGUAAGGUAACGGCUUACCAAGGCAACGAUGCGUAGCCGACCUGAGAGGGUGAUCGGCCACACUGGAACUGAGACACGGUCCAGACUCCUACGGGAGGCAGCAGUC